GCAUUUUCGCUCACAUCACAUGAAUGUAAAGAGUGCAUUGACCAAUGGUUUUUUAAAAGGACAAUGUAUUUGUAGGUCUACCUCAUGGAUUUGAGACAUGUAAAGAGAGUGCAGGAAACUUCAAUAUACUUCUUGGAAGUGUCACUAAAUACACAGCGCUUCUGUAUUUCCUUGAUUUAUUUAUAACUCAAGGGGAGAUAUUUUCCACUAUAUAAAUUUGGUGAAACAUUCUCCCUGAAUUGUCACAACAACAAGAGAUGGUUAGAUCAAGAGUUCUUCUCGUCCUUUUGUGCUUGUUUUUCAUGUUUGCAUCAUUAGGUGGGAGAGGAUUUUCUGUGCGCGGAUUUAAUAGGUAUAAUAGAUUUAAUAGGUGGGUAGUGAAUCUAUUUUUAUUUGUGCGUGGAUAUUUUUUAAAUUUUGUUUUAAUAUCUUUUAAUGAUUUACUUUUUUCGUAAGAUAUAUUCAUUAAUUAUUUUAUCCUGUAGUAAUUGCAGAGUUACAAAUUUUUGUAUAAUAAUUUAUCCUAUCUGUGCUAUAAUGUAUAUCUAAUUCUAGAUUUUCAAUGUUAUUUAUUAUCUUGUGUUGUUCUUCUCGUAGUGAGUUUUUUAAAUUAUAUAAACUAUCACAUGUACUUUUAUCUAAAUUUUCUAAGGUUUUUUCUAUCCAUAUUAAUUUUUCUUUUAGGUCUUUC
rnacentral:lncRNA from 1 species